rfam:Mahella australiensis 50-1 BON, complete genome.
CCGGGUGACAAUAGCGAAGGGGAAACACCUGUACCCAUUCCGAACACAGAAGUUAAGCCCUUCAGCGCCGAUGGUACUGAGCGGGAAACCGCUUGGGAGAGUAGGCCGUUGCCCGGU